rnacentral:rRNA from 1 species
CUACGGAGGGUGCGAGCGUUAAUCGGAAUUACUGGGCGUAAAGCGUGCGUAGGCGGUUGGUUAAGUUAGAUGUGAAAGCCCCGGGCUUAACCUGGGAACUGCAUUUAAAACUGGCGAACUAGAGUUGAGUAGAGGGGAGUGGAAUUUCAGGUGUAGCGGUGAAAUGCGUAGAGAUCUGAAGGAACACCAGUGGCGAAGGCGACUCCCUGGACUCGAACUGACGCUGAGGUACGAAAGCGUGGGUAGCAAACGGGAUUAGAUACCCUAGUAGUCC